AUUGAACGCUGGCGGCAGGCCUCACACAUGCAAGUCGAACGAGUGGCGGACGGGUGAGUAAUGUCUGGGAAACUGCCUGCUGGAGGGGGAUAACUACUGGAAACGGUAGCUAAUACCGCAUACCCUCGGAUGUGCCCAGAUGGGAUUAGCUAGGAGGUGGGGUCACGGCUCACCUAGGCGACGAUCCCUAGCUGGUCUGAGCGGAUGACCAGCCACACUGGGAAUGAGACACGGUCCAGAAUCCUAAGGGAGGCAGGAGGGGGGAAGAUUGCACAAUGGGCGCAAGCCGGAUGCAGCCAUGCCGCGUGUAUGAAGAAGGACUUCGGGUUGUAAAGUACUUUCAGCGGGGAGGCGUUACCCGCAGAAGAAGCACCGGCUAACUCCGUGCCAGCAGCCGCGGUAAUUC
rnacentral:rRNA from 1 species